GUACAUACAAUUAUUAUUAGCAAGCACUCCACCUACUGGUUUAUAUUAUGCCAAGCAUGUAACCAAAAAAAAAUAGUCAUGUUCUAAUAAGCUGUAAUGUUUGAGACUAUACUCUGGGCACCAGUAAGUUAAGUAUUUAUACAUCUCCUGCACAAUAAAACAGAAAUAUGUUUGCCUUUAAACUGUUAUUGAAAUUCAUUGACAGAGUACACCUAAUUUAUUUUCACAGAUGAAUAUCCUUACUAAUGAUUCGCAACCUUAACUGUGAAUGUCAAAUGAAGAUGCAUAAAUUAAAAGGAAAAGAGGUAAUCAGCAACAGUCAAAGGAGAAAAGAGAACAAGUUGGGAACAACAAAUAAAAGCAAACGUGCUAGAGAUGAAUAAUUACUAUCAAGACAAAAUGUUAACUUGUGAAAAGUGUAAGUAAAUCACAAAGAUAAACCAUAUUUGAGAGAUUGUGAUAACAC
rnacentral:lncRNA from 1 species